rnacentral:rRNA from 1 species
AGCGAACGCUGGCGGCGUGCUUAACACAUGCAAGUCGAACGCGCAGUUUUCUGUAGCAAUACAGGAAGCGGGCGCGUGGCGAACGGGUGCGUAACACGUGGGCAACCUGCCCUCAAGUGGGGAAUAACCCAGCGAAAGUUGGGCUAAUACCGCAUAAAAUUCCGAUGGCGCCUGCUGUUGGAAUCAAAGGUCGCAAGACCGCUGGAGGUGGGGCCCGCGCCCGAUUAGCUUGUUGGCGAGGUAAUGGCUCACCAAGGCUAUGAUCGGUAG